rnacentral:tRNA from 1 species
GUGAGUAUAGUUUAACCAAAACGUCAGAUUGUGAUUCUGAAGAUAGGGGUUAAAACCCCCUUACCCACC